rnacentral:antisense_RNA from 1 species
GAUCCCGCACCCAGCUUGAAUUCAGCGAGAAUCGAAAACAGGUGUGCCCCCGUGGGGCGGUUCGAAGUUGGCCGAAUAGGAACAGCUCCAGUCUGCAGCUCCCAGCUUGAGCAACACAGAAGACGGGUGAUUCCUGCAUUUCCAACUGAGGACUGCCGAAGCUAAGAGUAACUACCCCUGGUUUCAUUUCCAACUCAUGAAUUUUUCGCCAUCCUUCUCUGCCCGCCUUUCCUUUACUACACAGUGAGCCGCACUCCUGGAACAAGCUUCCCUUGAAGUUCACCCUCUGAGCGCCACAGCCCCUCUCCAGCCUGCAUUCCACUGUAAGGUUGAGAAAUAUCUGAUUGUUAGUGAUGAGAGAGAAAACCUAGCCUCAUUCUCUGGUGGCCUGUCUUGCAAAAGAGAGAUGAAAUCAAACCUGGCUUCCUGAG